CUCUUCGGUUAAUACCCGGAGACGAUGACAUUAGCUGCGGAAUAAGCACCGGCUAACUCUGUGCCAGCAGCCGCGGUAAUACAGAGGGUGCAAGCGUUAAUCGGAAUUACUGGGCGUAAAGCGAGCGUAGGUGGCUUGAUAAGUCAGAUGUGAAAUCCCCGGGCUUAACCUGGGAACUGCAUCUGAAACUGUUCGGCUAGAGUAGGUGAGAGGGAAGUAGAAUUCCAGGUGUAGCGGUGAAAUGCGUAGAGAUCUGGAGGAAUACCGAUGGCGAAGGCAGCUUCCUGGCAUCAUACUGACACUGAGGCUCGAAAGCGUGGGUAGCAAACAGGAUUAGAUACCCUGGUAGUCCACGCCGUAAACGAUGUC
rnacentral:rRNA from 1 species